ACAUGCAAGUCGAGGGGUAACAGAGAGAAGCUUGCUUUUCUGCUGACGACCGGCGCACGGGUGAGUAACGCGUAUACAAUCUGCCUUAUACAGAGGGAUAGCCUUUAGAAAUGAAGAUUAAUACCUUAUAGUCUAUUUUUAUAGCAUUAUAUAAAUAGUAAAGCUUCGGUGGUAUAAGAUGAGUAUGCGUCCUAUUAGUUAGUUGGUAAGGUAACGGCUUACCAAGACAACGAUAGGUAGGGGCCCUGAGAGGGGGAUCCCCCACACUGGUACUGAGACACGGACCAGACUCCUACGGGAGGCAGCAGUGAGGAAUAUUGGACAAUGGAGGCAACUCUGAUCCAGCCAUGCCGCGUGCAGGAAGACGGCCCUAUGGGUUGUAAACUGCUUUUAUAUAGGAAGAAACCUUUUCACGUGUGAGAAGCUGACGGUACUAUAAGAAUAAGGACCGGCUAACUCCGUGCCAGCAGCCGCGGUAAUACGGAGGGUCCGAGCGUUAUCCGGAAUCAUUGGGUUUAAAGGGUCCGUAGGCGGGAAUCUAAGUCAGUGGUGAAAUCUUGCAGCUCAACUGUAAAAUUGCCAUUGAUACUGGAUUUCUUGAAUUAGUGUGAAGUGGUUAGAAUGUGUAGUGUAGCGGUGAAAUGCAUAGAUAUUACACAGAAUACCAAUUGCGAAGGCAGAUCACUAACACUAUAUUGACGCUGAGGGACGAAAGCGUGGGGAGCGAACAGGAUUAGAUACCCUGGUAGUCCACGCCGUAAACGAUGGGAUACUAGCUGUUCGAUCUU
rnacentral:rRNA from 1 species